GAUGAACGCUAGCGGCAGGCUUAAUACAUGCAAGUCGAGGGGCAGCAUGAUUGUAGCAAUACAGUUGAUGGCGACCGGCAAACGGGUGCGGAACACGUACACAACCUCCCCAUAAGUGGGGAAUAGCCCAGAGAAAUUUGGAUUAAUACCCCGUAACAUAACGAUGUGGCAUCACAUUGUUAUUAUAGAUUUUUCGCUUAUUGAUGGGUGUGCGGCUGAUUAGAUAGUUGGCGGGGUAACGGCCCACCAAGUCUACGAUCAGUAGCUGAUGUGAGAGCAUGAUCAGCCACACGGGCACUGAGACACGGGCCCGACUCCUACGGGAGGCAGCAGUAAGGAAUAUUGGACAAUGGUCGCAAGUCUGAUCCAGCCAUGCCGCGUGAAGGAUUAAGGUCCUCUGGAUUGCAAACUUCUUUUAUAAGGGACGAAAAAAGGCUUUUCUAAGUCGUCUGACGGUACCUUAUGAAUAAGCACCGGCUAACUCCGUGCCAGCAGCCGCCGUAACAC
rnacentral:rRNA from 1 species